CGCGGCGUGUCCAAGGUGAACCCGAGUCUCCAGGUCGGAAAGCAGCCCUGCCGGGUUCCACGCCGAACCAAGGGGUGUCCCCGCGGGAUGUCCGCCGCGUGGAGUUUACCUCGGACACGGAGUCCGGAGGAGGCCAGCGGAGAAGACGGACUUCCCCCCCGGGCAUCCACCUUCCCUUCGUGACCUCGCUGUGGACACCGGCCCCGAGAGGAAGGGCUGCGGCCUCGGCGUUGCUCUCUCUGUUCGCUCCCGUCGGCUCCGAAGAGCGGCCGGGCGCCCAGCGGGAAAGGCCGAACCCCACGGUUCAAGACCGUCCCAACUCCUGGCCCAGGAGUGGCCACACGAGGAAGUUGUCGCCCUCGGUGCCCGACGCAGGAUUUGAACUCGCCGACUUGGGACCUGACACAACAUCGUUGUUUGUAUGUGGUGCUGAGGAUCGAACCCGGGCCGCACGCAUGCCAGGCAAGCGCGCUACCGCUUGAGCCACAUCCCCAGCCCCUGCCAAGAAGUUUUUGUAAAAUGAAGCAAAUAGUAAGGAACAACUUGCCCUAAGAAUAUAAAAUGUAUUAUACUAUUUUUAAAAAUAUUUUUCUAGUUGUCAAUGAACCUUUAAUUUAUUUGUUUAUAUGUGGUGCUGAGAAUCAAACCCAGUGUCUCACACAUGCUAGGCAAGCACUCUACCAUUGAGCCACAACCCCAGCCCCUCAAAUGUACUAUACUCUUACCAAGAAAAGUGUAAAUAAUAUAAAUUAAAGCUUUAAAAUAUAUU
rnacentral:lncRNA from 1 species